GCGGCAUGCCUAACACAUGCAAGUCGAACGAACCCUUCGGGGUUAGUGGCGCACGGGUGCGUAACGCGUGGGAAUCUGCCCUUUGCUUCGGAAUAACAGUUAGAAAUGACUGCUAAUACCGGAUGAUGUCUUCGGACCAAAGAUUUAUCGGCAAAGGAUGAGCCCGCGUAGGAUUAGGUAGUUGGUGGGGUAAAGGCCUACCAAGCCGACGAUCCUUAGCUGGUCUGAGAGGAUGAUCAGCCACACUUGGACUGAGACACGGCCCAGACUCCUACGGGAGGCAGCAGUGGGGAAUAUUGGACAAUGGGCGAAAGCCUGAUCCAGCAAUGCCGCGUGAGUGAUGAAGGCCUUAGGGUCGUAAAGCUCUUUUACCCGGGAUGAUAAUGACAGUACCGGGAGAAUAAGCCCCGGCUAACUCCGUGCCAGCAGCCGCGGUAAUACGGAGGGGGCUAGCGUUGUUCGGAAUUACUGGGCGUAAAGCGUACGUAGGCGGUUAUUCAAGUCAGAGGUGAAAGCCCGGGGCUCAACCCCGGAACGGCCUUUGAAACUAGGUAGCUAGAGUCUUGGAGAGGUCAGUGGAAUUCCGAGUGUAGAGGUGAAAUUCGUAGAUAUUCGGAAGAACACCAGUGGCGAAGGCGACUGACUGGACAAGUACUGACGCUGAGGUACGAAAGCGUGGGGAGC
rnacentral:rRNA from 1 species